rnacentral:tRNA from 1 species
AAGGCCGUGCUUAGCACAAUCGCCUAACACAAAAGCUGAAAUCCUCCUUUAAAUUCAACAAUAUAAACCGGACUUAAAAUCCGUUGGAGCAAUCCGUGUGGGUUCGAGUCCCACCGUCCCUACCA